rnacentral:rRNA from 1 species
GACGAACGCUGGCGGCGUGCUUAACACAUGCAAGUCGAACGGUGAAGCGCCUUCCUUUUUGGUGGGUGUGGAUGAGUGGCGAACGGGUGAGUAACACGUGAGUAACCUGCCCCCUUCUUCUGGAUAACCGCAUGAAAGUGUGGCUAAUACGGGAUAUUCUGGGUCUGUCGCAUGAUGGGUCUGGGAAAGAUAUUGUUUCGGUGGGGGAUGGGCUCGCGGCCUAUCAGCUUGUUGGUGGGGUGAUGGCCUACCAAGGCGGUGACGGGUAGCCGGCCUGAGAGGGUGGACGGGCACAAUGGGACUGAGACACGGCCCAGACUCCUACGGGAGGCAGCAGUGGGGAAUAGUGCACAAUGGGCGCAAGCCUGAUGCAGCGACGCCGCGUGAGGGAUGGAGGCCUUCGGGUUGUGAACCUCUUUCGCCAGUGAAGCAGGCCUGCCUCGUUUGUGGGUGGGUUGACGGUAGCUGGAUAAGAAGCGCCGGCUAACUACGUG